rnacentral:misc_RNA from 1 species
CAACUAUGGUACUGACAAAGUUGAUGAAAUGUUGCAAAGUCAAAUCACCCUUCACUCAAGGUAGCCAAUUUCCAUCAUAAGAGAGUCAAUAUACUAACUUGAAUGAAGAGGAAAAUGGAACCCCAACAUAAAUAGAGCAAGGAGGAAAGGCUAAAAUUCAACAUAUUCAAGAUGAAUUUUACCAAAUUUCAUUUAGAAAAUAAAAUAAAAGUAAAAUGCAACUAUUGUGGCCAAAUAUUCUAAUUUAAAGAAGAUGGCAGGGAUGGAACAUUUUUAAGUGGCAUUUCCAAAACAAGAGGAUACAUGGCAUCUUAAUCAUUGUUGUUGAUGGUCAGCAAAAGCGCCAGGCGAGGCGGGGUGACCCUUUAGCACCUCGUCUGGCACUGCAUGGCUUUGCUUUCGGGAGGUGACUGCCCCAAUGACAGAGGCGACGAGGCAAUUAGGCGACGCCUUUGUGAAGUUACCUCUCUUUUAAUUGUUUUUAACUCAACAAAUUAAAAAAUACCCUAAGACAGCAGCUCCAACUUUGUCACGCCUCCUUUGUCUCUC